AGGUAAAUCUAGCUUUGUAGAUGGAAAGUUGGCCUAUUUCUGCAUAACAUCAGUAUGGAUGUGAAUACUACCAUCAUAGAUGUACAUGGUUCAUCUGCAAGCAAAACAUAGAGAAGUGCUUAAAAGAUGAGCUAGGACAUGGUCAUCGUCAUCCAAAAAGAACUGCAAAGAAGCUGUUCUAAGGCAAAGGCACUGAAUAUGCUAAGGACAAUGGCUGUGCAGAUGACAUAAUUGAGUCAGGGUAUACUUUCUUGUUCAAUAAUAUUUGCUUGUGUAUGGUUCUUAUAGUUUUUUUCCUCUGCGAAGUUUCUUAAUUAUGAAGCAUGAAUAUGCAUCUGCAAUAGUGAAAGUGCAUCUAGCCCCCUAGUGGAUUUUGGUGGAUUGAAUGACAUCACAAUUAAAGAACUAAUCAUCUCAUUUAGUGUAUGAGCAGGGAUUAAUCAUCAUAUAAGUCAUAUAUGUGAAGACAUGAGUUAAUGUGUAAGACAAAAGGCUCAUAGAACAAGAUGUGUGCUAUGCCAUAAUCAAAUGAGAUGAUAUUGACAAGCAACGGUUAUUGUGUGGAUUGAGACAUGUGUUAUUGACAACAAUUUUACUCUCAUAUCCAAAUGAAGCUUGUUGACAAGGUCAUAGCACUAGAAGUGAAUUUCUUGUGAAGAAAUGGACAAUCUAUCAAUAGAAGAUAUAAAUUAAAAAGAAUUAUGAAGAAUGACUUUCAUUGAUGAUUUAAUUGUGAUACAAAUCUCUAUGGAGCUCUAUGUGACGCAAGGAUGAAGAGUUGGAAUUCGGGAAAGCAUUUCGAGGGACUAAGCUUGGAGAAGGGAAAUUGGGUUGUGCCGAGGAACCAAUGCUAGGGUGAAGAAAUUUUCUUGGGAUUCAACUUGAAGAAUCUUGGUCAUGUAUGGUGUUCAUAUUGGCAAGUAUCAAUCUUUUAUGAAGAUGGUAACUUGAACUAGAAAUGGGUUUCAUUCAUAGAUGAAUGUUCAAGUCACUAGCUCAAGGAAGAUGUGCUCAAGAAAAAGAGAUAGAGGUGAAUGCACUCCUCAGAUUGUGAAUGAUCAAAGGCACGACAUGAGAUACAAAAGAGAAGCUCAAGUGGUUGAAAUGUAAUUUAUCCUUGAUCUUGAGUAUAGGUAUGUUGUACUAUCAAGAGAAAUGCAUCACAAUGGUUUUUGGCUUA